UACGUAGGGGGCAAGCGUUGUCCGGAUUUAUUGGGCGUAAAAGGCUUGUAGGUGGCCACGCCAAGUCGGAUGUGAAAUCUCCCGGCUCAACUGGGAGGGGUCAUUCGAUACUGGCGGGCUCGAGGCCGGUAGGGGGAAGUGGAAUUCCCGGUGUAGUGGUGGAAUGCGUAGAUAUCGGGAGGAACACCAGUGGCGAAGGCGGCUUCCUGGACCGGCAUUGACGCUGAUGAGCGAAAGCUAGGGGAGCAAACGGG
rnacentral:rRNA from 1 species